rnacentral:rRNA from 1 species
UAAGGAAUAUUGGUCAAUGGACGCAAGUCUGAACCAGCCAUGCCGCGUGAAGGAUGAAGGUCCUCUGGAUUGUAAACUUCUUUUAUCUGGGACGAAAACGGGAUUUUUAUCUCAACUGACGGUACCAGAGGAAUAAGCACCGGCUAACUCCGUGCCAGCAGCCGCGGUAAUACGGAGGGUGCGAGCGUCAUCCGGAUUUACUGGGUUUAAAGGGUGCGUAGGUGGGCUUAUAAGUCAGUGGUGGAAUCUCCGAGCUUAACUUGGAAACUGCCGUUGAUACUAUAGGUCUUGAAUUAUCUGGAGNUAAGCGGAAUAUGUCAUGUAGCGGUGAAAUGCUUAGAUAUGACAUAGAACACCAAUUGCGAAGGCAGCUUACUACAUAUAAAUUGACGCUGAGGCACGAAAGCGUGGGGAUCAAACA